AGUAUUGUAAUUUCAUUUAAAAAGACAAAUUUGUAAUUUCCUUUGUUAUCAAUUAAAAAGUUAAAGAAUUUCCCUAAUCCAUCUCUUCCACCCCCAACACCUGGCGUUCACCCAUCCUCCAAGUAAUCACCGUUGGUUGCCCAUCUCCGUCAAGAUCAUCGCUCGCCGAUCGCCGGUCCUUGUCCGUUCGUCUACCGUCCGGAAUCUGUCCACGUUGCCCUCCUUCUCGAUUCUGCCUGCCUUGCAGGAUCUCGCACAUUCUCUCCCCGGAUCACGUCGCCGCAAACACCUGUCUGCGUGCUCUUCCUCGCGAUUCUUGGAUCGCCUUGCUAUCGUCUCAAACAUCUAGAUUGUAUUCCGAUCUUAGAUCGGAGACACUAGAGCUCCACACGUCAAAUUAAUCCUCAUCGAAGAUUGGGAACAGUCUUGAUACUCCUUGUAUCACAAACCUAUCAGAGCUUUUACAGGCUAUAACGCUCAAGAACCUCUCAAGUUUUCAAAGUAAAUUUGCAACUUCCCCAAGUCUUUCCAGGUAGACUUAGCACCUAAGAGUUUUCCAGGUAACUUUAUAAAACCAACUUUGAAUCUUUACAAGUAGAUUCAACCUAAGAGUUUUACCAGGAAACUCUAUAAAACUAACCUAGAGCUUUAUGGUUUAGCUCAAUAACCCUUCUUAUACUUUGGUGAUCUUAAGACAACUCUCUCAACCAAAGUGGAACACACAAGAAAAAAGAUGGAGAGAGUUUAGAACAACAACACUUCUACUUAGCUUGGAUCACUCAAGAGGAUUUGAAGAAGAAGUGUAGAGCUUUGAUGAACUUUGAACAAAAACAUUUGGACACAACUUUGGAAACGUUGGGAGCUUAUGAAAGUUGUGAACGUUGGAGAUGGAAAUGAAAAACUCAAAAUGAAGAUUU
rnacentral:lncRNA from 1 species